CGUGCACGCAAAACAAACGAAAAUUCAUUAAAAAUCGGUUUUCAAGACGAAAUAUCCAUGCAUUGUUUAGACAUUUCGAAGAUAAUAUAGAUAGCGUUUUUCGGUAAUAUUCUCUAAAUAUACAACUCAUUAUCAAUGGUAGGUACACAAAAUCGUAAUUUUUGUAUAUAUAUUUUUUUCUUACUGUAAAUUAUAAUAUUAUUUCAGAAAACCUU